GACGAACGCUGGCGGCGUGCCUAAUACAUGCAAGUAGAACGCUGAAGGACGAGCUUGCUUCUCUGGUUGAGUUGCGAACGGGUGAGUAACGCGUGGGUAACCUGCCUGGUAGCGGGGGAUAACUAUUGGAAACGAUAGCUAAUACCGCAUAAGAGUAGCUGUUGCAUGACGUUUGCUUAAAAGGUUCAAUGGCUUCGCUACCAGAUGGGGCUGCGUUGUAUUAGCUUGUUGUUGUGGUAUAGGAUCACCAAGGCGACGAUACAGAGUAGACCGGCGACGGGGAUCGGCCGGACUGGGACUGAGACACGCCACAGAGGGACACGGGAGGCAGCAGGAGGGAAUCGUCGGCAAGGAACGGAAGUCUGACCGAGAAAGGCGGAAGGCGUGAAGAAGGUUGUCGGAUCGGAAAGCACGGUUGUAAGAGAAGAACGCGUGUGAGAGUGGGAAGUUCACUCUGUGACGGUAACUUAUCAGAAAGGGACGGCUAACUACGUG
rnacentral:rRNA from 1 species